UACGGAGGAUCCAAGCGUUAUCCGGAUUUAUUGGGUUUAAAGGGUGCGUAGGCGGAAUAGUAAGUCAGUGGUGAAAGCCUGUUGCUUAACAACAGAACUGCCAUUGAUACUGCUAAUCUUGAGUACAUUUGAUGUGGGCGGAAUGUGUCAUGUAGCGGUGAAAUGCAUAGAUAUGACACAGAACACCGAUUGCGAAGGCAGCUCACAAAAACUGUAACUGACGCUGAGGCACGAAAAGCGUGGGGGAUCGAACAGG
rnacentral:rRNA from 1 species